rnacentral:rRNA from 1 species
AUACGGAGGGUGCAAGCGUUAAUCGGAAUUACUGGGCGUAAAGCGUGCGUAGGCGGUUUGUUAAGUCAGAUGUGAAAGCCCCGGGCUCAACCUGGGAACUGCAUUUGAUACUGGCAGGCUAGAGUAUGGUAGAGGGGGGUAGAAUUUCUGGUGUAGCGGUGAAAUGCGUAGAUAUCAGAAGGAAUACCGGUGGCGAAGGCGGCCCCCUGGACCAAUACUGACGCUGAUGUACGAAAGCGUGGGGAGCGAACAGGAUUAGAAACCCCAGUAGUCC